rnacentral:rRNA from 1 species
GUAGGGAAUCUUCCGCAAUGGACGCAAGUCUGACGGAGCAACGCCGCGUGAGUGAUGAAGGUUUUCGGAUCGUAAAACUCUGUUGCGAGGGAAGAAACCGUGCCAGCUAACUACUGGCACCUUGACGGUACCUCGCCAGAAAGCCACGGCUAACUACGUGCCAGCAGCCGCGGUAAUACGUAGGUGGCAAGCGUUGUCCGGAAUUAUUGGGCGUAAAGCGCGCGCAGGCGGUCCCUUAAGUCUGAUGUGAAAGCCCACGGCUCAACCGUGGAGGGUCAUUGGAAACUGGGGGACUUGAGUGCAGAAGAGGAAAGUGGAAUUCCAUGUGUAGCGGUGAAAUGCGUAGAGAUGUGGAGGAACACCAGUGGCGAAGGCGACUUUCUGGUCUGUAACUGACGCUGAGGCGCGAAAGCGUGGGGAGCAAACAGGAUUAGAUACCCGUGUAGUCC